rnacentral:miRNA from 1 species
UCUCUCACCUGGCAUAAGCAAU